UAUGAAGGAAACUAGUUUACCUCUUUUUAAUUAAUCUGAAUAAAAUGUCUAUAUAUGAAAUUAUUUAUGCCCUUCUCAAUAAUGACUGGACAAAUCCUUAUAGGCAUUACAGCAAUCAGACCCUCUUUACAUUUGCAGAACAGCUUUUUAGAUAUUAACAAUACUACUUUGACGAUUUAUCUUUGGUUAUGAUCUCCAAGUCUUUGGGGUUGGACGGCUUCCUUUUCGUCACCCUAAUCUUUAGCUCCUUCCGAUAGAUUCUUAUCAGUUUCAAGCCGCGACUCUGGCUGGGCCACUUUUGUUCAGAAGAAGCAUUUUGGAUCAAAUUUAAAGACAACUUUUAACUCUUAAUCUGCCAGGCGUAUGACUAAUUGUGGGUUUAACUGUGCUGGUUACUUUUUCAUUUGAGAAUUAGACCAGCUUCAAUUGAAAGCUGGCUUCCAGCUGUGUUUUUGCAGCUCAUUUAACUCAGAUCAGAACCUUUAGAGAAGAACCAAAAACUGAACCACUAAUGUAUGGCAGCUCACACUGGGUUGGGUUCAGCUUUUCAUUUUUCAGAGCACCCAAUGAACUUGACUCACACAUGUGUCAUGUAGAACCAAACACACUGACAUUUCCCCUUAAUGGAGUAAAGUGUCUAAAAUAAACUCUACAAACAUUUUUUUAGCAUAUCUGGCAUCCAUGUGAGAAAUAGAAGAGAUGACGUUAAAAGUAAAAGUUACUUUUACUCAAAUAUCUUAAACGCAGGAGAACAUUAGAGAGAAAAAAUCAGGUCAGAUGAAGGAUUUUUUUAGUGAACAACAUCUUGUCAUGAUGCGUCACAAUGUGGUUUCCUGGACAUGUAUUUUAAGAAACUGGUGCACUUAGAGAGUUUGGUCAUAUUUACUCAAGAAUAGAGCUACUGAAAGAAGGAUGAACCAUCAGCCUUUGUAUGGACUAUAUCUCAUUAUAUUUACUUCAUGGACAUCAGAUGCACUUUAUUCAUCAGAUCCUGUGCAGAUGUUUGCUCAACCAGGAGACAGAGUUACUUUGCCAUGUGGUUUACCUUCUGUUGGAUCCUGCUCUUCAAUAAACUGGACAGAGAAGUUUUAUGUAUGGGAUUCUGAGGUGGUGACGGCUGGAAAAGUCACAUAUUUUAAAGAAAACAAGUAUAAUCUGCUAAAGGAUUGCUCCCUGGAGAUCCCUAAAAUGGAGCGUCAUGAUGCCAAGUUGUACACUUGUGAAAGUGGAGCUCUGAAUUCAAGUGUUUCCCUUCGGUUUCUUGAUAUUUUUUUGUUUUACAGUUAAUGAGUCCCAAACAGAGGACACAGUAGAACUUCACUGCUCCCUCAGUACAUUUCUAGGAUAUGUCCCCUGUAAAAAUGACACAGGCAUUAAUAUCAUAUGGACAACUGAGAAUGAUGUUCCAAUCACCGGUAAAAGAUUUAGAUUUGAGAAUCCAUCUGUUUGCUUCUCAAAACUGAUCAUCACCAAGAAAGUGACCGACCAUCACAGGGCAUGGAAAUGCCAAGUAACCCAGAAUGAUGUGGUUAAAGCCAUCGCCAGUUAUAAGACAACAAUAACAGAUGGGCUGGAGGAAGUGUUUGCUGCAGUUGGUGAGUCAGUGUCACUCCUUUGCAGAAACACUUUCUCUCUCAGACUUGAAGACAGCAUAGAGUGGACUCUGAAUAAAAAACCACUGGCUGACAUGUUACCUGAAAAUGGCCAAACAAAUGUAUUUAAUGUGAGCACAGACUCAUCAUUAGUAAUCAAUACACUGAUUCCUCUGUAUGCUGGAGACUACCAGUGUAUGGGUUCCUCUGAUGAGCAAAGAGUGUUUCACAAAUUCAGGCUGCACACCCUCGAUGUUACUGCAAAGACAGACCCAGAAGGCGAAAAUCUCACUUUGACCUGUUUGCUUACUUGUGCAAAAGAAUGUGAAGAAAACUUCAACUUAACUUGGUCUGGAAGUAGCCGAGAGGGCUGGCAGGGCAGAUUAUUGAAUGUUAAUAACACCUUGAUCAAUGAGCUUCUUCUCCCAGUUUGGCCAGUUAGCUCUGAUGAAAUAACCUGCUCUGUGUACAGAGAAGGUUCACUGAUGGCAUCAAAAAGAUGGCACUCUGUUAAAUUUCUGCAGACCCUUGCAUGGAUAGGUCUUCCUCUGGGCCUUUUAAUAUGUGCAGCAACAGCAGGAGUUUUUAUUCACUGGAAGAGGAAGCGCAACCAGGAUUUGGUUGCCAAAUUGUCAAACAUCUCAAUGACGCAUAUUUAUGAUGCCAUUCAGGAUGAGGAAGUAGAGCAACAGAGACAACUAAAUAGAGAAGUGGCCACCACUGAUGACGGUCUCUACAAUUUAUUACAAACUGUAAACUAAAGGAAAUAAAUAUUGCUCUUUGUCUUUA